AUACGGAGGGAGCAAGCGUUAUUCGGAAUCACUGGGCGUAAAGCGCGCGCAGGCGGCUAUUUAAGUUGGAUGUGAAAGCCUACGGCUCAACCGUAGAACUGCAUCCAAAACUAUUUAGCUAGAGUGUGGGAGAGGAAGAUGGAAUUAGUUGUGUAGGGGUAAAAUCCGUAGAGAUAACUAGGAAUACCAAAAGCGAAGGCAAUCUUCUGGAACACUACUGACGCUGAGGCGCGAAAGCGUGGGGAGCAAACAGGAUUAGAAACCCCAGUAGUCC
rnacentral:rRNA from 1 species